rnacentral:rRNA from 1 species
GCAAGUAUCCGCGUUCCAGUGAGUAUGCCCUAGGUACCCUAGCCCACUAGGUCGAUAGGAGCGGGCAUCAGGCACACCCCCCCCCCCCCGUAGCCCAAGACGCCUAGCUAUUGCCACACCCCCACGGGUCAUCAGCAGUAGUUAACAUUAAGCCAUGAGUGAAAACUUGACUUAGCCAUAGCAAUUUAGGGACGGUAAAUCCUGUGCCAGCCACCGCGGUCAGACAGGAGGCCCAAAUCAACAUUAUAACGGCGUAAAGCGUGGUACCAUGAUAUCCAAGUAACUAAGAUUAAAAAGCAGCUGAGUUGUCACAAGCCCAAGAUGCCCAUUAAGGCCACUAUUCAAAGAAAAUCUUAGACUAACGAUCAAUUGAAAUCCACUAAAGCCAGGGCCCAAACUGGGAUUAGAUACCCCACUAUGCCUGGCCCUAAAUCAUGAUGCUUAAUCUUACCGAAGCAUCCGCCCGAGAACUACGAGCAUCAACGCUUAAAACUCUAAGGACCUGGAGGUGCCCCAAACCCACCUAGAGGAGCCUGUUAUGUAAUCGAUGAUCCACGAUAUACCCGACCAUUCCUUGCCAGUAUCAGCCUAUAUACCGCCGUCUCCAGCCCACCCACCAUGAAGGACCAACAGUGGACGCAAUAGCCUAACCCGCUAGUAAGACAGGUCAAGGUAUAGCCUAUGGGAUGGAAGCAAUGGGCUACAUUUCCUAAACUAGGACAUCACGGCAAAGGGACGUGAAACCGUCCCUGGAAGGAGGAUUUAGCAGUAAAGUAGGACAAUCGAGCCUUCUUUAAGCCGGCUCUGGGGCACGUACACACCGCCCGUCGCCCUCCUCAAAAGCGA